rnacentral:lncRNA from 1 species
GGCAGUCUACCUUGGGGUAUACCCACGGUAGUAGUUUAUCGGUAGACGGUGCGCAAACUACGAACUCGAUGGUGACGCAAGACACGGACAAGCUUUUUAUCCAGGUUCGGCCGCCGAGUUGGCGUAAUACCUACGUCCUGCGUCUGGUUGUAUUGAUUUGUGUUGAGAGAAUUGUGUGUCCUAGGGGGGUCCCUUGCCCCUCCUUAUAUAGUCUGGAGGGCAGGGUUACAGAUGUGGAAACUAAUCCUAGUCGGUUACAAUUGCCACAGAUAGUUCGAUAUCAAUUCCUAUUCUAACCGACUAGAAUCCCGCUUGAUCUCCACGUCUUGUUUCCUUGCGCGAAACUCCGAGCUGUCGGAUCAGGCCUUUGAACUCGUCUCGUAAUGGGCCAAGCUUCCUGGCCGAAGUCUAGCCGUAAGGGUAUAGGGGUUUAUACCCCCACAAAAUGCGAGUAGAAACACUUAGCUGGAUAAAUGGGGUUGCUCCCCCAAGCUGGAUUUUGACGUAAUUUCUUCUGAUGUAGCUAGCAAGUGAUGGAGGUGUAUUUGAAUGUCGGCAGCACCCUGACAGCGAUUAGGAUGUCCUCCGUCUGCUAGUCUUCUUUGAUCCUUGAAUUCUGUGGAGCUCAAAUAGACAACAAAGCUUUGUGGAACUAGUUAAGUGUUAGCAUAAAUAUCUAGCCUUUAUCAUGUUGAGCCUCCUUAAUAAAUGUUACUCUCUUUGGUAGGAUCAUAAAUUUAUUUUUAUAUUUUCAUUUUUAUAGAACAGGAAUAUAUUUAUUUUAUUUUUACACCACCACAGUGAAUGUACUUAUGGGUUUUAUGCCACGAGCAUACUCACAUGGGGUUUACUAUUUUUAACAUUUUUUUAUUUUUUUCAAGAUAGCAUGAUUAACUAACAAGUCAUUUAAGAAAAGUAAGUAACUAAAAGGAAAAGGGAAUGUAGAAGGGAUAAAUAUGGAUAACUACCGAUUUUACCUUUUGGCGAGGGUUCAAUGUUUUAAGUGACAAGACUUCUCACCGUGCUCAUUCUUCAGGUGCGUCAUUUGAUUCAGGUGUGGACCUUGACAUCUGCUCCUCUUGAUACGGUGUCACCCAUGUUCUUCGUUUGUCCAGCAGUUCAAAGUGCGGUGUUGGUAGUAUCUUGCUCAGUGUAUUUGUGCUCGUAGAUUCGGGUCCUUCACUUGGUGGAAUCUGGGAGUUGUAAAGCUCCGCCAUGUUUUGCUCGAAGUGUACCUGCUCAUGGAGACAAGGCAGAGAUCAAGUGCAUGGGCCCUGUUGGUGGAAAACACCAACAGAACCAAAAGUGUAUUUGUUCUUCUCUAACCUUAAGCAUGGUGAGCAAGACAAAGUUGAUGGAUGAUAAGUUUAUGAGUGUAGCACUUAUAACAUUUGUCAGAUCAGAUCGCUCAACCUUAUGGAGAGAUAAUCUAUCUAUGUAUAUGUCUUUUUCUUUAUAUCUCUCAAGGACUGAAUGUGCAACAUUUUAGCUCAUAUGGUUAGGAGUGUGGGAUCAUGGAGCUAGUACUAGGAACAAAGAUUAAAGGACUAAACAUGCUGAAUCAGUUGGGUUGGUUAAUUUGGAGUUAUAAAUCAUACAUGUUUGUCUUUUUUAUUCAUAUGAACGCCAGAACCAAGGAGAAGCUGAUAAAAGUGAUAGUCAAGUACCUAAGGUGUUACCUUACUUGAAGAGUGAUGGUACAGUCUCACCUUGUGGAAGCUUUCCUUUCUUAGCGGCUGUGCAUCGUGUUUGUAGCACCCUCCAUGGAUCAUCUCUUAUGAGCUACGUCUUCCUUGUGCAAAUUGUUAAACUUCAUGUGUCUCUCUCUUUGUCUCUGAUGUGAGUUUAUCUCAGGAAUUUCCAGGUUGAUAUUGAAAGUUUUCCUGCAGGGUUAGUCCAACAAAAUACCCAAUAUCUACUAUAACAUACUAUCGGCUCAAAAAUCAACCUAGACACCAUGUCUAAUUUGAUUUUGGAGGGCAUUUUAACCUAAGCACC